rnacentral:lncRNA from 1 species
UUCCGAAGAAGUUGGUUUGAUCAAAGACACUGCAAAUAACCAUGUAUCAAAACCCACGUCACUUAAAUAUCUCAAAAAACUGUGUUACAAAGUUGUUCGAAACUUAUAUUUAUGGUCAUAUAACCAGGUUUGCUUAGUCAGAAGUGCAAAACUCCAUUCCUUCGGAGGAAUCUUCUUCAAAAAAUCUACCAUUUCCUUCACACGCUCUUCGGGGAUAUCUCCAAAGUCAGCAGAGAUCCGAUCAGAGAUAGUCCAAUCAGGAAGAGAAGAGAUUUCGGGUCCUGUAACAAAAAACCAUUUUUCGUGCCAACCCUUGUUGUUUGAAGGGGUAUCUAUCAGGGGUCUCUUCUCAAAUCUGGCGUUAGGUCGAGGAGACUGUUUGCUCAACAUUUUGAAACCUCGUUCUCGGGAUCUACCGGCUGAGAAGAGGGUGAAGAAGAUGUCGACAGAUGGAGGAAUCCCUAGUUCGUGACAGAAGGCAAUGAAUGCCAGAAUGUGGAUAUAGGAAUUAGGAACCAACUGGGCAAAUCCCACUCCUAUAAACCCUAGGAGGGUAACGACGAAGGCAUGGAGGGGUAGGCGAAUUCCUUUUUCGAGAAAAGUAAC